UACUUAAUAGGAUACACUCAUAAUUUCAAAAGAGAGAAAAAUUUUGCUUGCUCAUAUUCCAUACCAAUACUUCAUACAUUGCACAGAAUAUUAAAUGAUUCACAAAAAAUUUAAUAAUUAAUAUCAUAAAAUAAAAUAAAAUAUAAUAUAUAUAAUAUAAAAUUAUUUAAAUAAUUUAUUGUAUUAUAAAAAUUUAUAUUUUAUGUAUAUAUUAGUUUAAAAUUUUUAUUGAUAUGUAGUAGUAAA
rnacentral:lncRNA from 1 species